GAUGAACGCUGGCGGUAUGCUUAACACAUGCAAGUCGAACGGAGUGCUUCGGCACUUAGUGGCGGACGGGUGAGUAACACGUGAGAACCUACCUUCAAGUCGGGGUCAACAGCUGGAAACGACUGCUAAUACCGGAUGAGCCGAGAGGUAAAAGAUUUAUUGCUUGAAGAAGGGCUCGCGGCUGAGUAGCUAGAUGGUGCGGUAAUGGCGUAACAUGGCGACGAUCAGUAGCUGGUCUGCGAGGAUGAGCAGCCACAAUGGUACUGAGACACGGCCCAGACUCUUACGGGAGGCAGCAGUGGGGAAUUUUCCGCAAUGAGCGAAAGCCUGACGGAGCAAUACCGCGUGUGGGAGGAAGGCUCUUGGGUUGUAAACCACUUUUCUCAGGGAAGAAGAUCUGACGGUACCUGAGGAAUAAGCAUCGGCUAACUCCGGGCCAGCCGC
rnacentral:rRNA from 1 species